GACGAACGCUGGCGGCGUGCUUAACACAUGCAAGUCGAACGGAAAGGCCCUGCUUUUGUGGGGUGCUCGAGUGGCGAACGGGUGAGUAACACGUGAGUAACCUGCCCUUGACUUUGGGAUAACUUCAGGAAACUGGGGCUAAUACCGGAUAGGAGCUCCUGCUGCAUGGUGGGGGUUGGAAAGUUUCGGCGGUUGGGGAUGGACUCGCGGCUUAUCAGCUUGUUGGUGGGGUAGUGGCUUACCAAGGCUUUGACGGGUAGCCGGCCUGAGAGGGUGACCGGCCACAUUGGGACUGAGAUACGGCCCAGACUCCUAUGGGAGGCAGCAGUGGGGAAUAUUGCACAAUGGGCGGAAGCCUGAUGCAGCAACGCCGCGUGCGGGAUGACGGCCUUCGGGUUGUAAACCGCUUUCGCCUGUGACGAAGCGUGAGUGACGGUAAUGGGUAAAGAAGCACCGGCUAACUACGU
rnacentral:rRNA from 1 species